GACGAACGCUGGCGGCGUGCUUAACACAUGCAAGUCGAACGGAAAGGCCCUGCUUUUGUGGGGUGCUCGAGUGGCGAACGGGUGAGUAACACGUGAGUAACCUGCCCUUGACUUUGGGAUAACUUCAGGAAACUGGGGCUAAUACCGGAUAGGAGCUCCUGCUGCGUGGGGGUUGGUAGUUUUCGUCGGUUGGGGAUGGACUCGCGGCUUAUCAUCUUGUUGGUGGGGUAGUGGCUUACCAAGGCUUUGACGGGUAGCCGGCCUGAGAGGGUGACCGGCCACAUUGGGACUGAGAUACGGCCCAGACUCCUACGGGAGGCAGCAGUGGGGAAUAUUGCACAAUGGGCGGAAGCCUGAUGCAGCAACGCCGCGUGCGGGAUGACGGCCUUCGGGUUGUAAACCGCUUUCGCCUGUGACGAAGCGUGAGUGACGGUAAUGGGUAAAGAAGCACCGGCUAACUACGUG
rnacentral:rRNA from 1 species